AUUAGUGGCGGACGGGUGAGUAACGCGUGGAUAACCUGCCGUAUACAGGGGGAUAACACUUAGAAAUAGGUGCUAAUACUGCAUAAGCGCACGGUUCCGCAUGGAACAGUGUGAAAAACUCCGGUGGUAUACGAUGGAUCCGCGUCUGAUUAGCCAGUUGGCGGGGUAACGGCCCACCAAAGCGACGAUCAGUAGCCGGCCUGAGAGGGUGAACGGCCACAUUGGGACUGGGACACGGCCCAAACUCCUACGGGAGGCAGCAG
rnacentral:rRNA from 1 species